rnacentral:lncRNA from 10 species
UGUGAAAUGACCAAAGAUCUGGCAGCAGAAGGGAAAAGAAAAAAUAAUGGGAAGAAGAGGAUUUAUCUGACUCAACUGGAGAUGGCUCCCUUCCCUUAUUUAUUGUUGCAUCCUGAAGCUUCCCCCAUGCUGGGCUCAGUGUGAACAAACAGCGCGGGAGAAUGCAACCACUGCAGAGGCAUAUGUUUGAGAUACCUGGCCACUGGAGGUCAUCUCGUCUACUAUAUUCACCGCAGAUAAAGAAUGAAAAGAGAAUACACAACCUUGUGAUUGCUAGCAGUGAAAGCUCAGAGUUAUGACAUAACAAUUGGUUGGAAAGAACCCAAGGGGACAUGGGCACAGCAUCCCUUCCUGGGCCUCUUCCUCAGGUGGUGCGGGUGGGAAAUCAGGAAGCUCCCAGACAUGGAGCAACUCAGGUGAUCAUGGAACAGAGAGACGGAGUCUCGCCCUGUCACCCAGGCAGGAGUGCAAUUGUGCAAUCUUGGCUCACUGCAACCUCUGCCUCCCGGGUUCAAGUGAUUCUCCUGCCUCAGCCUCCGG